rnacentral:rRNA from 1 species
GAUGCCCGCUUUCUUCUUGCCUAAUACAUGCAAGUCGAGCGAACGGACGAGAAGCUUGCUUCUCUGAUGUUAGCGGCGGACGGGUGAGUAACACGUGGAUAACCUACCUAUAAGACUGGGAUAACUUCGGGAAACCGGAGCUAAUACCGGAUAAUAUUUUGAACCGCAUGGUUCAAAAGUGAAAGACGGUCUUGCUGUCACUUAUAGAUGGAUCCGCGCUGCAUUAGCUAGUUGGUAAGGUAACGGCUUACCAAGGCAACGAUGCAUAGCCGACCUGAGAGGGUGAUCGGCCACACUGGAACUGAGACACGGUCCAGACUCCUACGGGAGGCAGCAGUAGGGAAUCUUCCGCAAUGGGCGAAAGCCUGACGGAGCAACGCCGCGUGAGUGAUGAAGGUCUUCGGAUCGUAAAACUCUGUUAUUAGGGAAGAACAUAUGUGUAAGUAACUGUGCACAUCUUGACGGUACCUAAUCAGAAAGCCACGGCUAACUACGUG